GACGUAGGGUCCAAGCGUUAUCCGGAUUUAUCUGGGGCGUAAAGCGCGCGUAGGCGGUCUGUUAAGUGCACAAGUGAAAGCUCCGGGCUCAACUCGGAAAUUGCUUUGCAUACUGGCAGGCUGGAGGGACGCAGAGGUCUGUGGAAUUCCUGGUGUAACGGUGAAAUGUGUUGAUAUCAGGAGGAACACCCAUGGCGAAGGCAGCAGACUGGGCGUUUCCUGACGCUGAGGCGCGAAAGCGUGGGGAGCGAACAGG
rnacentral:rRNA from 1 species